AUUGAACGCUGGCGGCAGGCCUAACACAUGCAAGUCGAGCGAGCGGCGGACGGGUGAGUAAUGUAUGGGGACUGCCCGAUAGAGGGGGAUAACUACUGGAAACGGUGGCUAAUACCGCAUACUAUCGGAUAACCCAUAUGGGAUUAGCUAGUAGGUGGGGUAAAUGCUCACCUAGUCGACGAUCUCUAGCUGGUCUGAGAGGAUGAUCAGCCACACGGGGACUUGGACACGGCCCAGACUCCUACGGAGGCAGCAGUGGGGAAUAUUGCACAAUGGGCGCAAGCCUGAUGCAGCCAUGCCGCGUGUAUGAAGAAGGCCUUCGGGUUGUAAAGUACUUUCAGCGAGGAGGCGUUACUCGCAGAAGAAGCACCGGCUAACUAAGUGCCAGCAGCCGCGGUAAUAC
rnacentral:rRNA from 1 species